CCCCUCAUUCCCUUGCCGACAAGCUCAACACCCAUUUCCCCACAAUAACUAAACCCUCCUUGUCCACCUGUACCGCCAUUUUGGCCUCAAAAUUAACCCGUCCAACUGUAAAAAACACUCAAGAUUAAAUAAGCAGCAGUAUAUCACAAGGGGCAUGUUUGGCUAACAGCUAGAUGGGAUCCCUCCGAACUUGUAAGCCUGAUGUGGAUGAAGCUCCAUUUUUUAUCCAACUGUCGAGGAGUUCGAAGAUACACUUGGUUAUCUAUUAAAAAUACGACUGGAUUAGAUGCCGGUGGUGGUUGAAGGUGGAGAUGGUGGUGUGGUGUGGUGUGGUAGUGGUGGUGGUGUGGAGUGGAGAGGAUGAAGUGGGUAGGGUGGAUGGUGGGUCCCAUAUAAAUCGUAAAAUGUUAAUUAUAUUUAUU
rnacentral:lncRNA from 1 species